rnacentral:tRNA from 1 species
GUGGUUCAGUGGUAGAAUACUCGCCUGCCACGCGGGUGGGCCGGUUUCCAUUCCCGGC